rnacentral:lncRNA from 1 species
CCCUGAUAUACAAAACAUUGUUUUAUUUGUUCUUGUGAAAAAUAGCACUGGACUUGUUAAGCUCUGUCUGGUUUGACCCCAAUGGGUUUCCGUAAUGGGCCUAUAACACAUCAUACAGUCCAGAGUCAGACAGCUACAGUACAAGCAGCAGAAUCCAGAAAUGGCCUGGGACCAAACAGACAGUGUGUGUGUGUGUCAUCCCACACACACACACACACACCAUCCUUCUUCCUUAGGUCUACACACGCACACCUGUGCGUUCAUUAGUUUCCCUCUUAUACAUACAUAUAUAUUGUUUUACAUUUUUAAAUUUCUUUACAAAAAUAAGGUUCUCGCAUUCAUGUCAAGUCAUAGAUUAAAAUCUGGUUAGAAAGUGAGAUGAACAAUUGUUAUUGCACAAGUUGAUUACCUAAUAAUUCAAAUAGAAAUAAUAAAAAACAAAUCACUGAUUCUUCUUCUAUUUUGAUUAAAACCUAUUAAUAAAUAUGCACCUGCCCUACUAUAUCUAUCUGGUAGCAAAUGAGAUGUCAUAAAGAAAGGACAGGGGAAAUAAGGAGAGUGACUUCAGAGAAAUAAUGUGUGUAUUUUCACUGGUCCCUUCAACUAGCUUGGGGAAUGACAACGGCGAGUUGCUGUGGUGAUUAGGGAUAAUUGCACACUGCACUGACACAUUAUCCUCCUCCUCUGUGUGUGUGUGUGUGUGUGUGUGUAUGAAUGACUACUAUCAAAUGCAGAGACAUGGGUAGACAUUAUUAUCCCUUAAACGUAUCACAUUCAUUUCCAGAGAGAACCAAUCCUACCCCUGUUACCAUGCAGAGGCCUGAGAGGAUGUAGGCACUUGUGAAAUGAUGAUGUCAUACGGACCACAGGGCAUUAGAACACCCACGGGGCCUUUAAAAAUUCUUUAAACAUUCCUUAAAUGUUCCUGCUACUUCAGGGAGUGGGUCUCAUUCUGCUAGCGUUAUAGUGUUACUUGCAUUAUACAAAUUACAUAUAUAAACAAUGUAGAAAUGUUGGGGACAUGCUGCAAGGCUGGAAAAACAUUGAGCAUUGGACCAUUUCAUAACAAUCAGACAUGGAAGAGCAAUAUGCAACAACAACUAAAAAGGAGUUACAGGAAGAGCAACUUGAUAGAUAGCAAUGAUCAUAUAUUACAGCAAUGAUAUGUUAAAUAUAUUACAUCUGUAAACCUAGAGCAAAGUUUUAGAUUCACGCAUCCCCAAAAAGCCCUGUCCCCUUUCCCAAAAUAAGUCAUGAAUAAAGCUCAUUGGAUGAAUGCAUAAUGCCAAUCGAACCUAGAUCAAAAUUAAUUCAAUGAGAAAAGACAAAAUAAAGGAGGAUAAAAACAACAUAUUUAACAAAUAGCCAUCAUCAUGACAUUGUCCGUUAAAAUGAUAUACACAACAGCAUAUUUCUCCUGAUAUUUUCAAUCUUUUUCUGGUCAUAAUUCUAACAAUAUAAAACACAGGCUUCAAAGUCACAUGCACUCCUUCAUGCAAAGCCAUGCUGUCACUCAAGGUGUGUGAGUGCCUAUCUCUGCAUGUCAGUCUGAAGAUGUUCGUGUGUGUCUUUUCUUCUCAGUGGCAGUGAACAAGGCAAUAACUCACCACUGAAAAUACAACCUCUUCAUGCAAUAACACAUCCAGGUGGUUAAAAUGUCAGUGUGUGUGUGUGUGUGUGUGUGUGUGUGUACUUUGUUCAAUGUGGCACUGCAUAAGGCACCUGAAUGUGUAUAACCAGUCAGAUGCACUCAGCUUGCAUAUGUGAGCAGAAAUCUUGCCGUCGCUGGCAGAAAACAGCAGUAAAAUCAAAAUAACAACAACUGCAGGUGGAAGGACUGUUUUACACAGGAGUGACUCUGCUCAGUCAUUUUCGGAGGCAUCAGGCCUUUCAGUCCAAACAUUACAAAGAAGAGAGGAAGAAAGACGACACAAAAUGAACCCUGCCUGAUAAUCAAUCAGAGAGAGAGAGAGAGAGAGAGAGAGAGAGAGAGAGAGAGAGAGAGAGAGAGAGAGAGAGAGAGAGAGAGAGAGAGAGAGAGAGAGAGAGAGAGAGAAAGACGGAAAGAAAACAACUAGUGGCCAUACUAACAAAAUAUAUAUUUUUUUGACCCACAAUUCAGUGAGGGAGUGUGUGAGAUCUGAUUGGAAGCUGCACACUGGGCUUGUGCAGUAUGGAGCUUCUAUCACCAAGUAAAACAUAAUUAAAAGUUAAAUACAUUCAAAUGACUAAGGAUACCAUACAGCACAUUAAGCCAGAGACUGUCGUGAGGAAACUACAUGAAUAAGUAAAAAGCACAGAGGUCAGACUCCUAACCAUCUAACUAGACCUCCUCUAGGCUGCUCUAGUAGGCCUAUUGAUAAGUCAUACUGUAGCAGGAAUGGAGUGCUUUAUCAUUGGUUAUGUAUAGAUCACUGAUCGGUAAUGCUGACGGUUUCUUAUUGGUCAGUAUGGAUGGGCUAUAGUGUUUGUCAUUGGACAGUUAGUUCAGAUAUCUAGUUUCAGUCAGUUGGCUACCUUUCAGCAUUAAUCAAACUGGCUAUAUGUGGUCUGGGUCUGACCCUACUCUGAUCACCAUACUGGACAAUGGACAUAUACAGCAGGGAUGUGAAGUUGGCCACCCAGAAAGCUACCCUGGGUUUGAUUGAAGAAAAACACCCUAAAGCAGGAAAUUAGAUAACUGAAAACCUUUCAUCCUGUCAUCUUUCAGCCGUCCAUUCACUCUCUCUUCCCCGUUCCUUUUUCCUCUCUUUCUCCCUCCCUCCCUCCCUAGCCCAACACACUCAGUCAGGGUUAUUAAGAGCUAUAUUUAGAGAAAACCCUCUUCUCUUGGAGUGUGCAGACUGGCUCUUAUUAAAACCUGUGUGUGUGUAUGUGUGUGUGCGUGUGUUUGAAGCCGUGUUUUCUUAAAGGAGUUAACAGCACGUGUGUUGAAGCAUGCUGAAAGGUAAUGUGUUUACACCUGCUUUCACCAUUCUGCAGAAUACCUACAUACAUACUGUACAUCUGUUUGCAUAGAGUACACUAUUCUCUCACCCACUCACUCACAAAUGCAACACAGAAAAAAGUAGAGGGAUAGAGGGAGAAGACACAGAGAGAGAGAGCGGAGAGAGAGAGAGAGAGAGAGAGAGAGAGAGAGAGAAGACAGAGAGAGAGAGAAGACACAGAGAGAGAGAGAGAGAGAGAGAAGACAGAGAGAGAGAGAGAAGACACAGAGAGAGAGAGAGAGAGAGAGAGAGAAGACAGAGAGAGAGAAGACAGAGAGAGAGAGAGAGAAGACACAGAGAGAGAGAGAGAAGACACACAGAGAGAGAGAGAGAGAGAGAGAGAAGACACAGAGAGAGAGAGAGAGAGAGAGAAGACACAGAGAGAAGACACAGAGAGAGAGAGAGAGAGAGAGAGAGAGAGAGAGAGAAGACACAGAGAGAAGACACAGAGAGAGAGAGAGAGAGAGAGAGAGAGAGAGAGAGAGAGAGAGAGAGAGAGAGAGAGAGAGAGAGAGAGAGAGUGGUGAAGAUGUCUCCCAAUGUGAGACCAGAACAGUAUGUGGUUCUUUCUACAGAGGCUAGGACAAAAAAUAAAACUGUUGCAUCAUCCCAUACACUGGAUAAGGUACAGUGAAAUGUGUUGUUUUAAUGGGUCAGCCAUAGUAGUACAGUCCCCCUGGAGAAAAGUAGGGUUUAGUGUCUUACUCAAGGGCACAGACAGAUGUUUCACCCUGUCAGCCUGGGGAUUUGAACCAGCAACCUUUCAGUUAUUUGCCCAACGCUCUAACCACUAGGCUACCUCCAUACUUAAUUCCAGUUCCAGGUCACUCAACCAGAUGGGAACAAAAUAGAACAGAGCUGGAAUGAUAAGACUGAAAUGUGUCUGAUAAGAAGAUUCAAAUCACAAAUUAAAGCAGGUGGUUGGUUUCGCUACCUUCUUCGUGUAAAUACAUACAAACCAAUACGUCCAUGCACUCAAUACACACACUCACAUCCAUACCGGUACACAAGCCUAUCUUCUUGUCACCGUACAACCGUCUGUAUAUGGAAGACUGGUCAGAAAGAAAUGUUUACAGGUCCACAAAAUGAAAACAAACUUUGAACAUUUCCUCACCAAUACCCAAGUCGCUAUAAAAAUAAUAAAAAUGCAAUCCCUUUUAUAGUCAAACCACAUUCUAUACAUUUUGUUCUGACCACCUUUGUUAAGCAGUGACACUCCUCUCCCCUCCCUAACACCCAGAUCUCUUCUGUGCUGGUUGGGGCGAGAGCAGAGUCCAUCCCUCAGCCUCAAGAGUUGAGUAAGUGCAGGGCCCAAAAGCCCACUGGGAGGAGGGGUAAAGGAGAGAGGGAUGGAGAGGAAGGUUAGGAGAGGAGGAGGAGAGAACUUUAUUUCCCAGAAUGUAGUAUUGAUCCAAGCCCUGAGGUUGCAGCAUCGGUUGUGGUUUUGAGGCGGGGCGGGGGGCGGGGGGGCUACGCUCCUCAUACUCCUCUACCCUCCAACACACCCGUCACCAUCCUCAUCCCCCUGUCACCCUCCCCAUCCCCCUGUCACCCUCC